rfam:Camelus ferus unplaced genomic scaffold scaffold459, whole genome shotgun sequence.
AAGGGUAUAGCUCAGUGAUAGAGUGCGUGCCUUGCAAGCACAGGGUCCUGGGUUCAAUCCCCAGUACCUCCA